ACUCUUUCCUACACGAUGCUCUUCCCAGGUGCCUCUCUUUGCUACUUUUAUGCUUUUCAUCUCCACAGCAUAAUCGGUGCUAGGAAGAAACUGAUUUUUU